rnacentral:miRNA from 1 species
UGGUGCAGUGGGGGUAGGCCAGCAGGAGCAGAGCCCAAGCAGAGCUGGCCUCUUCCUACCUCCAG